rnacentral:lncRNA from 1 species
GUUGCUGUUCCAUUUGGGUUGGUCCAGGAAGAUAAGCUUUACUGCUGGAGUUUUUUCUUUAUUUAUUUUUGAGACAAGGUCUCUCAGUGUAAUUCAGACUCGCCUCAGACUUGCAGGGAUCCUCCUGCCUCAGCCUCCCCUGUGCUGGGAUUAUAGGCGUGUGCCACAAAGCCCAGUUUACUGCUGGAGUUUAAAGUCUGAGCUUCACCCUGGCUACGUUAGACCUACCCCUUCCAGAGGGAGUCCCCCAUCCGUGGUGCUCCCCUCCUCGAGCCCUACUAAUAACGAACCCCGCUGGCCGGGGCAAGUGGCGCCCAACGUGGGGCUUGAGAAACGGGGUUUUCACCCGGUGGACGCUGCUCGGAGGAUCAGAAGAUCAACACCUGAACUGCUGCCCGGACCUGGCGAGCCCAGAUCCACAGACAGUCUGCCAAGACCAACCUAAUGAAUUGGCUGAUCGUGACUUGGAUUACUUCCUGACCUGUCCUGACCUGGCGAAUUGGCUGCCGCCUGACCUGCCCUGUCCUGACGAGUUUGGAUCUACGUCCAGUCCGCACUGCCCCCAUCCAGCUGUGAGAACAACCUAGGAGGUAAGUGAUCGACGCAAAUAAGGGAUAAGAACUAAAUUCAGGUAAGAUCCAGAAACUUAUGACGGUUAGAUAAAUUCUGCAGAAAUAUUUGAAAGCUAAAGAAAUUCAGAAAAAGAAAGUGCUAGAAACAAAGCUCCCAGAGAGCCAAGAGACAAAGCUCCCAGAGAGCCAAAGAUACAGCUGUGAAACUAUAAUAUAGUCGGGUGGUGAAGGAAAUCGAGGGACCACUUGGCUAUAUUUCGUUAGAAU